AAUACAAGAAAUUCCAUUCUAAUCUCUGAAACGUACUAAUGUGGGAUGUAAAAAAUGCAGCAUAAAUAUGAAAACAAGUCCAAGUAUUAACUGGAACUAUAUAAAUAAACGGAUGUAGAAUAUAAUGUAACGAAAUAUAGAAGAAAAAUAAAUUUAACAUCUGUUUACAAUAAGGAGCCAUAAAUUAGAUGUCGAAAUCGGUGAUGAUGUUUAUUAUUAAUGCCGUAAUAGGGAUAAAAAUAAUGGCCAACGGACCACCCGAAAUGAUAUAAAUGGACUCUUCCGAUCAACACUCGCUUGCAUCCGAUCAACUUUCAACCUGCAGACUAGAAUAUGGAUGAUGGAUUCGAUCAAUAUGUUACCUCUACGGUCCGAUGAACUAUAAAAACCAUCUGUAUAAAGAUAGCCAUCGAGAAAAGACAAAUACCAACUUGAUAUCAGAAUCUUAAAACUGGUGGUGUUUUUCGAUUGAAACAUUGAACUGUCAGGAGAAAAGAAAACUAUAUUCUUUACUUUUUUUCUCUUAUUGACGACAACAGCUGCGCUUUAAGCUGAAAUUUGUAAUGAGU